GGAAUCUUCCGCAAUGGACGCAAGUCUGACGGAGCAACGCCGCGUGAGUGAUGAAGGUUUUCGGAUCGUAAAGCUCUGUUGCCAGGGAAGAACGCUUAGGAGAGUAACUGCUCUUAAGGUGACGGUACCUGAGAAGAAAGCCCCGGCUAACUACGUGCCAGCAGCCGCGGUAAUACGUAGGGGGCAAGCGUUGUCCGGAAUUAUUGGGCGUAAAGCGCGCGCAGGCGGCCGAUUAAGUCUGGUGUUUAACCCCGGGGCUCAACCCCGGGUCGCACUGGAAACUGGUUGGCUUGAGUACAGAAGAGGAAAGUGGAAUUCCACGUGUAGCGGUGAAAUGCGUAGAGAUGUGGAGGAACACCAGUGGCGAAGGCGACUUUCUGGGCUGUAACUGACGCUGAGGCGCGAAAGCGUGGGGAGCAAACA
rnacentral:rRNA from 1 species